CGCAGCGACAGAGCAUGGCAGUUGUAACGCAGUUUGUGUGAUUCCGUGUGCGUUAAUGAAACUAAAACCAUGCUUAUAGUCACCAAUACUGCAUCUGCCACAAUUAUAAGUGCAUAUCUGGCUGUACCACAGUUGGAUUUAUCAUGGCAAGCCCUGCUGUAACCAGUUCUUCUGUGAAGUUUCAUUAAAGACAGUGAACUAAAAA